ensembl:lncRNA
CUAGCUGAAACUACAUUUAUUCUCUUCUCUCACUUUUGUCUCACAUUAUCUAUUCAGUGCUCCAGUGUCCUGCUCUCAGACAUCAGCCAAAUGCUAUUCCCCAAGCAUGGGCUGUUUCACCCACCUGUGAGGAGAACUAUCCUACUGCAGUUUGAACUAGCUCUGCCGUCACUAUUUAGACAGAGAUUCUUUGUGGAUGUCUUACACCAUCUAGUGCAUUUUACAGUUGAAGAACACCCACUACUGGUGCUUGUUUGGGCAUCUUUAUUCAUUAUUGUUCCAUUAUAUUACUCAUAAGUGUCAUUGGACAAAGGAGUCUUCUGUACUGAGGAGCUUUGUUAAGAGGCCCGACGCUCUAGUCUAGAGUACCCUGAUUAAAUUGUUUAAGAGCCUUUUUAAACUCUCUACCAUCAGGGAAGUGGUAACUGCCGGCCCAGACUCCUUUUUGCAGGCCAUCGGAUCAAUCUCCCCCACCAGAGGAAAAGUUUUUUUUUUUUUUUUUUUUAUGUUUUCAAGAGUUGGGGUCUCAAUUUACUGUUGUGAGUUAGAAUAGUAGAAUACACAAGGUGCAAUUUCAAAAUUUGGUUAUGCUUCAGCAAUGUCUCUUGUUGUCAGUCAAUUAGCCCAUGUCAGAUAACAUUUUUUUUUUUUCUUUCUAACAUACAUUUUGUGGUCAGUUUUUUCAACUUGUUAUCAUGGUCAAAUUACCGGCCAGGGAGCCGCCAUUGAUUUUGUCACCCUCACUCAGAUAUCAUUAAAAAAUGCAAAUAUUCUCUUCACCCUAUGGCAAAAUUAGUAGAAUGGUCUGACAUGUUCUAAGAUUGCUAAAUCUUCUCUCCAGCCAAUGGCAAAAUCUGUAGUUGCAGAAAACUGCAACAUUGUCUCUACUCCCCAUGGAAAAAAAACAGAAAAUUCACUUUAAAACAAUUCUCUCAGUUCUCAAUAGGGGGGCCACUAAAAUGUUUUACUGGUCAUGUGGGGUGAGUGGGGGGUAUGGAUGUGGGUAAACAGAACUUGAGCAACUGCCACCCCUCAUGAUGAGUUUAGAUUUUUUUGUGGCCCCCACCCCAUCAAAGUUAACCAUCCCUGCUCUAAAUGUAUUUUAGAGCAUUUUUAAACUUUCUAAAUGGUUAAAUGAGUGACAAAUAUGUCAUUGUUGCAAUAGUGUGUGAGUGGGC